rnacentral:rRNA from 1 species
AUUGAACGCUGGCGGCAGGCCUAACACAUGCAAGUCGAGCGGAGCGGCGGACGGGUGAGUAAUGCCUAGGAAUCUGCCUGGUAGUGGGGGAUAACGUCCGGAAACGGGCGCUAAUACCGCAUACUAUCAGAUGAGCCUAGGUCGGAUUAGCUAGUUGGUGGGGUAAAGGCCUACCAAGGCGACGAUCCGUAACUGGUCUGAGAGGUGGAUCAGGCACACUUGAACUGAGAGACGGUGCAGACGACUCGAGGAGGGAGCAUGGGGGAAUAUUGGAAAAUGGGCGAAAUCCUGAUCCAGCCAUGCCGCGUGUGGGAAGAAGGUCUUCGGAUUGUAAAGCACUUUAAGUUGGGAGGCGUUACCAACAGAAUAAGCACCGGCUAACUUCGUGCCAGCAGCCGCGGUAAUAC